rnacentral:rRNA from 1 species
AGAGUUUGAUUAUGGCUCAGGAUGAACGCUAGCGAUAGGCCUAACACAUGCAAGUCGAGGGGCAGCACAUGAAGUAGCAAUACGGAUGGUGGCGACCGGCGCACGGGUGAGUAACGCGUAUGCAACCUGCCUACAACAGGGGAAUAACCCGUUGAAAGACGGACUAAUACCCCAUAACACAGGGAUCCCGCAUGGGAAUAUUUGUUAAAGAUUUAUCGGUUGUAGAUGGGCAUGCGUUCCAUUAGCUUGUUGGUGAGGUAACGGCUCACCAAGGCAACGAUGGAUAGGGGAACUGAGAGGUUUAUCCCCCACACUGGUACUGAGACACGGACCAGACUCCUACGGGAGGCAGCAGUGAGGAAUAUUGGUCAAUGGACGCAAGUCUGAACCAGCCACGUCGCGUGAAGGAAGACGGCCCUACGGGUUGUAAACUUCUUUUGUAAGGGAAUAAAGUGCAGUACGUGUACUGUUUUGCAUGUACCUUACGAAUAAGGAUCGGCUAACUCCGUGCCAGCAGCCGCGGUAAUACGGAGGAUCCGAGCGUUAUCCGGAUUUAUUGGGUUUAAAGGGUGCGCAGGCGGGAGAUUAAGUCGGCGGUGAAAUUUUGCAGCUCAACUGUAAAAGUGCCUUCGAAACUGGUUUUCUUGAGUGUGGAUGAAGUAGGCGGAAUUUGUGGUGUAGCGGUGAAAUGCAUAGAUAUCACGAGGAACUCCGAUUGCGCAGGCAGCUUACUAAACCAUAACUGACGCUCAGGCACGAAGGCGUGGGGAUCAAACAGGAUUAGAUACCCUGGUAGUC